rnacentral:rRNA from 1 species
CAGCAGCCACGGGAAUACGAAGGGGGCUAGCGUUGCUCGGAAUGACUGGGCGUAAAGGGCGCGUAGGCGGUUUUGACAGUCAGAUGUGAGAUUCCUGGGCUUAACCUGGGGGCUGCAUUUGAGACGUCAAGACUAGAGUGUGAGAGAGGGUUGUGGAAUUCCCAGUGUAGAGGUGAAAUUCGUAGAUAUUGGGAAGAACACCGGUGGCGAAGGCGGCAACCUGGCUCAUUACUGACGCUGAGGCGCGAAAGCGUGGGGAGCAAACAGGAUUAGAUACCCCCGUAGUCCCUGUCUCUUAUAC